GGGCCGUUAGCUCAGUCGGUAGAGCAGUGGAUUUUUAAUCCAUUGGUCGAAGGUUCGAAUCCUUCACGGCCCA
rnacentral:tRNA from 1 species